rnacentral:rRNA from 1 species
UACGGAGGGGGCGAGCGUUAUUCGGAAUUAUUGGGCGUAAAGGGCGCGUAGGCGGCUGCACAAGUCAAAGGGUGAAAUCCCUCGGCUCAACUGAGGAACUGCCUUUGAAACUGUGCGGCUUGAGGCCGGGGAGGGGGUAGCGGAAUUCCCAGUGUAGCGGUGAAAUGCGUAGAUAUUGGGAGGAACACCAGUGGCGAAGGCGGCUACCUGGACCGGUUCUGACGCUGAGGCGCGAAAGCGUGGGGAGCAAACAGG